rnacentral:rRNA from 1 species
CGGACGGGUGAGUAACACGUGGGAACGUGCCUUUAGGUUCGGAAUAGCUCCUGGAAACGGGUGGUAAUGCCGAAUGUGCCCUUCGGGGGAAAGAUUUAUCGCCUUUAGAGCGGCCCGCGUCUGAUUAGCUAGUUGGUGAGGUAAUGGCUCACCAAGGCGACGAUCAGUAGCUGGUCUGAGAGGAUGACCAGCCACAUUGGGACUGAGACACGGCCCAAACUCCUACGGGAGGCAGCAGUGGGGAAUCUUGCGCAAUGGGCGAAAGCCUGACGCAGCCAUGCCGCGUGAAUGAUGAAGGUCUUAGGAUUGUAAAAUUCUUUCACCGGGGACGAUAAUGACGGUACCCGGAGAAGAAGCCCCGGCUAACUUCGUGCCAGCAGCCGCGGUAAUACGAAGGGGGCUAGCGUUGCUCGGAAUUACUGGGCGUAAAGGGCGCGUAGGCGGACAUUUAAGUCAGGGGUGAAAUCCCAGAGCUCAACUCUGGAACUGCCUUUGAUACUGGGUGUCUUGAGUGUGAGAGAGGUAUGUGGAACUCCGAGUGUAGAGGUGAAAUUCGUAGAUAUUCGGAAGAACACCAGUGGCGAAGGCGACAUACUGGC